UAAAAAUUAGAAAUGAUCUUAUUUUACAUCUCAAUUCCAGAUCACUCUCCCUCCUAUCCUCCCAGGCCCCCUGUGGAGCCCCCUCAUCACAUUCCCCAUCUACUGCCCAGGGAGGGUGAGGCCUUCGAUGAGGGAUCAUCAAAAUCUAUCAAGUCAUUUGGGGCAGGACCUUAGUGGUCCCCUGUUUACCAGGCUAAGAGAGUAUUGCUCCAUGGGAAAUGGGCUCCCAAAUCCAUUCGUGCAAUAGGGAUACAUCCUGGUUUCACUGCCAAAGGCCCCAUAGACUGCCCAGUGCUCCUAGCUGACACCCUGUUCAGGGGGCCUGGUUUGGUCCUAUGUUGUUUCCCCAGACUGGGGUGCAUGGGUUCCUACUUUCUCAGGUCAGCUGUUUCUGCAGGUUUUCCCAGCAUGAUCUAGACCCUUUAGUUGAUCACUCCUCCCUCUCUGAAACUGGAUUCCAGGACUUGGGCUCUGUGCUUACCUGUGGAUCUCUGCUUCUCCUUCCAUCAGCUAAUGGAUGAAGGUUCUAGCAUGGCAUUCAGGGUAGUCAUCAUUCUCAUGAUAGGGAAAGGGCAUUAAAGUUAUUCUCUCCCCUAUUGAUAAGGUUCCUAGUAGGGGUCAUUCUUGCGGAUCUCUGUACAAUUUCCUAGUGCCAGAUUUCUCUUUAAACCCAUAGUGGCUCCUCUACUGAUUGUCUCUUUCCUUGCUCUGCUCUAUUCCUCUCCCCACACAAUCGUCCUCAUCCCUCAUGUUCUCAUCCCUCUCCUCCCCUCUCCUCAUUCAUUACCCUACCUCCAUACCCACUCUCCCCAUGUCCCAAUUUGCUCAGGAACUCUUGUAUUUUCAGCUUCACUGCAGGAACAUGGAUGACACUUUCAUGGUCCUGCUUGUUUCCUUGCUUCUCUGGUGGUAGGGAAUGUACACUGGUAAACCUUUGCUCUAUGUCUAAUAUCCAUAUAAGAGUGAAUAUUACCAUGUUUGUCUUUCUUUGACUGGGUUAACUCACUUAGGAUUGUUUCAACUAGUUCUAUCCCGUUGCCUGCAAGUUUCAAGAUUUCAUUGAGCUUUUAUGCCGAGUAGUACUCCAUUGUUUAAAUGUACCACAUUUUCUCAUUGCAUUCUUCAGCUGAGGGGCAUAUAGAUUGAUUCCAUGUUCUGCCUUUUACAAACAAUGCUACUAUGAACAUAGUUGGACAUAUGUCCUUAUUCUAUGAAUGUGCAUCCUUUGGGUAUAUGCCUAAGAGAGGAAUUGCUGAAUCUUGAGGUAGACUGAUUCUGAUUUUCCUAAGAAACCAUCAUACUGUUUUUCAACAUGGUUGUACAAGUUUGCACUCCCAACAGCAAUGGAGGAGUGCUCCUCUUUCUCUACAGAACAGGAUCCAUCCUUUUGCUGCAUACAAGAAACAUACUUCAACCUUAAAGACAGAUACCGCCUCAGAGUUGGGAAAAGAUUUUCCAAUAAAUAAGCUUAGCAGACAUCUAUACAAUGUUUCACCAAAACACAAAAGAACAUAGCAGACACAGUGAUAGAUAAGUAGUCUCAGGUCUGGUCAGAACCAACACCAGCUCCAGGAUAUCUGUGCUUUUCAGGCCGCACCUUUUGGGAGACUUUACAGAAUGUGUUUUGCCCAUUUGUUCCUAAACCAGACCUGGAUGGAGAAUGAGAAAAAGAGGUCAGAGACAGACUAUUAUGCCCAGCCUAGCCUACAAGGUCUAGAUGAUGAAUAGAAGGACUGGCUUUGCCUGACACCUGCUCACACACACACAUGUAGAUAGUUCUAGGAAUCCUGAUGUCAAAGAGGAGAAAUGA
rnacentral:lncRNA from 1 species